CUUUAAUAGAUCUAAUAAAUGAUUAACUCGGACCUACCAAUAUGGGUAUAUAAAUACUUAAAUCUGGGUAUUUAAAAUUUCGAAUGCGAAUUUUUAAAAAACCGGACUUAUAUUGAUCUAGAUCUCUUGUAUAAUAUCUAGAAUAAUAUAGAUCUACAACACCUAGGCCUAGACUAAAGUUAAAGACUAAGGUCUAGAUUUAUUUAACGUUUUAAAAAAAAAUCAAUAGAUCUAAUAUAGACAGUCAUGAGAUCCACUCUAUUUUAUCUAGAUCUAGACCAUACAUGAGAUCAAUAAUUGUCAAUAUGAAUAUUUAUAGAUCUAGUCAAAUCUAGUGACUCUAGUCCAGAGUCUAGAAUCUAGAUUGAAGAUUCUAGAUCUAUCGAUCAUCUAUGAUCUAGUCUGUCUAUAGCUAUACUUACUAUUAUAGUUAAUAAUUAUAGGCCUACACUUUUACAGUAUAUGAGUAUACUCAUACGAGUCAUACUGGCUAUACUAUAGUAUAGACACUAUAGUUAGUAUAGUUAAUACUUUUUAAUAGUAGAUCUAUAAUCUAUCAAUUCUAUCUAAAUUAUUCUAAAUCUAGACUUCACUUUCACAUCACAUUCAGUCAUUCACACGAUUAUUGAUACAGACAGUGAAUGAAACGAAUGCAGUGGUUAUACUGAUUAUACUUAAAGUGACGAUACUACUUAUAGAUCUACCAGUUGAUAAACAUCAUCAUCAUAGAUAAUAAUCUACAUCUAAUAGUGCCCUUUAUUUAGUCAAUAUAGUCAAGUCAAGGUAGUGGAACGUAAACUCGAAGGUUUAGUACAAUAUGUUAUUAACAAGUAGAACCAUGGCAACCAGUUCUGAUGAUGUACCAGAAUGGCUCAAGGAUCAUACUUAUACUAUUUCUACUCUCUGGGCAUCCAUUCAAUAUUUAAUUUAUGUUUGGAAAUGCAAGAAAAAGGCAUGCAUUCCUGAAAAGUCAAUGAUUGGUUGCACCUCUUAAAGAUAACUUUCUGUUAUGAGAAAAGAUGAGAUUCUUGGACUCCUGCAUAGCACCACCAGAAAGGAAAAUCCCAUCAUGUUGCAAAAUAAAAGUCUUGGACCAAUUUUAAUUUAAGAUAUAUAUAUUAUACUGUAAGCUGUAUACAUAUUUAUGUAUAUCCUGUCAUUCAGCCAACAGGUUUGGAUUUAGUAUUUCUUUAAAUCUGUUUGAUAUUGUACUUGAAAACUAUUAAUCUGAGCCCCAUUAAAACAAGAGGGAGUGCAGUGGAUGAGUGGUAAGGGAAAUUUUACUUUUUUAAAAUUAAAAUAAGAAUCUAACAAAGGUAAACAUAUAAAAUAUGGUGCAUUCUCCUUAAAACUAAAACCUGGUGCAAAGGUUUAAAAUGUUGGCAAAAAAAAAAGCAACAUCAAUUAAAUAUUCUUAAUUCCCUUUGCAAAACUUACUGAGAAGAACAUGCAUGUUGUUCCCUCAUAAGUUUCUUGACAGAGGAAAUCUUGUUUAUAUUAGAUUUGAAUUAAGCAAAUUAAGAAAAAAAUUAUAAUCAUUAUUUCAAAUGGUUGUAUCUAAACCUUAUGAAUUAUUUUUCAGUUAUAAGUAUAUUGAAAUGAAUGGAUAAUCAUGAAAUUGUUAAAUAAUUGCUGCUAUCAUUCCAUUGACUAAAGAACCAUAAUUUUUUAAAAUUAAUUUCAAAAUUAAUUAAUUAAUUAAUUUUCAAGUAGAGUUCACAUAGAUCUUGAGUGAAAUUUUUCUUUUUUUGACUAAUGCUUCAAUUUUAUUGUAUCAUUAGUUUUUUAUUUUUAUUACCCAGAAUAUUUUAAAAAUGAGUACACUAUUUUCAUGUAAUAAUGUAACUUGGUAUUCACACAUCAAAAUACGCUAUAAUCUUUAGGCCAUAUAGAUUUGUAUAAAUAUACAUUAACUUGCUUAAAUACAUUGUAAAUGUAUAUUGUUUGGAUAAGAAUAAAGUUUUUCUGUAGACAAUUAUUGUUCAAGAUUUGUUGAUGCUCCUGCUUAAUAAAUUAUAUACACAGGUCAUUAGUUUUAACACACUACUGACACAAGAAAAACUGGUCGCCCCCACUUCCUAUUUCUACGACUGAAGGAGGCCAAUGAUGAUGAUACAGGUCAUUAGUUUUAACACGUCUGAUAAUAAAUGACAGUACAAGUUAUUGAAUGAAAAUUUGUCAUUAUUUCAGGUGCUUUAGGCCUACAUCAAUGUGAGGUACCAGUACUUUGAUUGUGUCAUAUAACAAUUUAAAGCAACAUUUUGAAAUGAAUAGUGUGUAGAAUUGACAGUAAAUACAUUUAAGUGAUGGGCUGUGAUCUGCAUGAAUUGAAUUUGUGUUUUUGAUCUUUACUUCAAGUAAAUGUUAAUGAACAAUUAAUUUUUAAUGAAUAAAUAAUUUAAAAAUAAAUA